rnacentral:lncRNA from 1 species
AGCUCUGCAAUCUUCUCCGCAGAGUUAUAAAUGUAAACUUUAUAUUCUUGAUAUUUAAUUUUGAAUGUAUAAAUUAUUCUUUUAUCAGAUUUUUUUUUUUGACUCCGCAGUUAUAGGGCUGUGUAUUUAAAUUGGGCCUUAUUGUUAGCACUACGCUAUAAAUUAAUUAUUGUGCAAUUAACUGUAGGUAAACUAGUAAGCCCUUAUUGUAAUUAUGAGUUAUUGUGAAUAGGCC